rnacentral:rRNA from 1 species
UAGGGAAUCUUCGGCAAUGGACGGAAGUCUGACCGAGCAACGCCGCGUGAGUGAAGAAGGUUUUCGGAUCGUAAAGCUCUGUUGUUAGAGAAGAACGUUGGUAGGAGUGGAAAAUCUACCAAGUGACGGUAACUAACCAGAAAGGAACGGCUAACUACGUGCCAGCAGCCGCGGUAAUACGGAGGUCCCGAGCGUUGUCCGGAUUUAUUGGGCGUAAAGCGAGCGCAGGCGGUUCUGUAAGUCUGAAGUUAAAGGCAGUGGCUUAACCAUUGUAAGCUUUGGAAACUGGAGGAGUUGAGUGCAGAAGGGGAGAGUGGAAUUCCAUGUGUAGCGGUGAAAGGCGUAGAUAUAUGGAGGAACACCGGUGGCGAAAGCGGCUCUCUGGGCUGUAACUGACGCUGAGGCUCGAAAGCGUGGGGAGCAAACAGG